GUUUAGAUGAACGCUGGAGUGAUCAGGACUUUGUCUAUGUGAAUAUGUUAACCCAGAUAACUAUGCCAUGGAGCCUAUUCGUGUAAUUAAAGACUUUGGCUCCAUGGCAAUUGAACUGUGUGAAUAGGAUCUGAGAGCUAUUCGGUAGUUAUGUGCGCUCAGAUCCCAGCUAUCUGGAGAUAUGUGACAUUCAUGGAUUUUAUGUAUUAAAGGUAACACUGUAUGUUUUUAUGUAUUUUAUGGUCUUUGUGUC